AGCGAACGCUGGCGGCAGGCCUAACACAUGCAAGUCGAACGAAGUCUUCGGACUUAGUGGCGGACGGGUGAGUAACACGUGGGAACGUACAUUUUGGUUCGGAAUAACUGAGGGAAACUUCAGCUAAUACCGGAUAAGCUCUUCGGAGGAAAGAUUUAUCGCCAUUAGAGCGGCCCGCGUUGGAUUAGGUAGUUGGUGUGGUAAAGGCGCACCAAGCCUACGAUCCAUAGCUGGUCUGAGAGGAUGAUCAGCCACACUGGGACUGAGACACGGCCCAGACUCCUACGGGAGGCAGCAGUGGGGAAUCUUGCGCAAUGGUCGAAAGACUGACGCAGCCAUGCCGCGUGAAUGAUGAAGGUCUUAGGAUUGUAAAAUUCCUUUAGCAGGGACGAUAAUGACGGUACCUGCAGAAAAAGCCCCGGCUAACUUCGUGCCAGCCGCCGCCGUAA
rnacentral:rRNA from 1 species